rnacentral:rRNA from 1 species
UACGUAGGGGGGCUAGCGUUGUCCGGAAUCAUUGGGCGUAAAGCGCGCGUAGGCGGCCCGAUAAGUCUGCUGUGAAAGUCCAGGGCUCAACCCUGGAAUGCCGGUGGAUACUGUCGGGCUAGAGUUCGGAAGAGGCAAGUGGAAUUCCUGGUGUAGCGGUGGAAUGCGCAGAUAUCAGGAGGAACACCGGUGGCGAAGGCGGUUCUCUGGGCAUGUCCUGACGCUGAGGAGCGAAAGCGUGGGGAGCGAACAGG